rnacentral:rRNA from 1 species
GACGAACGCGGCGGCGUGCCUAAUACAUGCAAGUAGAACGCUGAAGGAGGAGCUUGCUUCUCUGGAUGAGUUGCGAACGGGUGAGUAACGCGUAGGUAACCUGCCUGGUAGCGGGGGAUAACUAUUGGAAACGAUAGCUAAUACCGCAUAAGAGUAGAUGUUGCAUGACAUUUGCUUAAAAGGUGCAAUUGCAUCACUACCAGAUGGACCUGCGUUGUAUUAGCUAGUUGGUGAGGUAACGGCUCACCAAGGCAACGAUACAUAGCCGACCUGAGAGGGUGAUCGGCCACACUGGGACUGAGACACGGCCCAGACUCCUACGGGAGGCAGCAGUAGGGAAUCUUCGGCAAUGGGGGGAACCCUGACCGAGCAACGCCGCGUGAGUGAAGAAAGGUUUUUGGAUCGUAAAGCUUCUGUUGUAAAGAGAAAGAAACGAGUGUGAAGAAGUGGAA